UGACCUUCGGGGCCCACGGUAUGGGCUGGUC
rnacentral:sRNA from 1 species